CCUACGGGAGGCAGCAGUAAGGAAUAUUGGACAAUGCUCGCAAGAGUGAUCCAGCCAUGCCGCGUGCAGGAAGAAUGCCCUAUGGGUAGUAAACUGCUUUUGAACUAGAGAAAACCCCAGUACGUGUACUGGGCUGAUAGUAUAGUUAGAAUAAGCAUCGGCUAACUUCGUGCCAGCAGCCGCGGUAAGACGAAGGAUGCAAGCGUUAUCCGGAUUCAUUGGGUUUAAAGGGAGCGUAGGUGGACUGAUAAGUCAGUGGUGAAAUCUCCGAGCUUAACUCGGAAAUUGCCAUUGAUACUGUUGGUCUUGAGUACAGUUGCUGUGGGCGGAAUAUGACAUGUAGUGGUGAAAUACAUAGAGAUGUCAUAGAACACCGAUUGCGAAGGCAGCUCACAAAGCUGUAACUGACACUGAGGCUCGAAAGUGCGGGGAUCAAACAGGAUUAGAUACCCUGGUAGUCCGCACCGUAAACGAUGAUUACUCGCUGCUAGGGGGCAACCUUUAGUGGCUUAGCGAAAGCGAUAAGAAUCACCUGGGGAGUACGCCGGCAACGGUGAAACUCAAANAGAGUAGAGNGNGAGAGNGCGAGCGACGACGAGGGAGAGG
rnacentral:rRNA from 1 species